rnacentral:rRNA from 1 species
UAGGGAAUCUUCCGCAAUGGACGCAAGUCUGACGGAGCAACGCCGCGUGAGUGAAGAAGGAUUUCGGUUCGUAAAACUCUGUUGUUAGAGAAGAACAGCGCAUAGAGUAACUGUUAUGCGUGUGACGGUAUCUAACCAGAAAGCCACGGCUAACUACGUGCCAGCAGCCGCGGUAAUACGUAGGUGGCAAGCGUUGUCCGGAUUUCUUGGGCGUAAAGCGCGCGUAGGCGGUUUUUUAAGUCUGAUGUGAAAGCCCACGGCUCAACCGUGGAGGGUCAUUGGAAACUGGAAAACUUGAGUGCAGAAGAGGAAAGUGGAAUUCCAUGUGUAGCGGUGAAAUGCGCAGAGAUAUGGAGGAACACCAGUGGCGAAGGCGACUUUCUGGUCUGUAACUGACGCUGAUGUGCGAAAGCGUGGGGAUCAAACAGG